AUGCUGACCCGCUGCGACCACAGGCUGCUGCACGUCCUGGGCCUUAGCUUCCUGCAGCUGACCCGCUGGCUGCUUUUCCUCUGCGCUCACCGCCUCAUGAAACUGCUGGUCAUGUUCGUCCUCGGCGGUCCCGGCGCUGGCAAGGGGACCCAGUGCGCCCGCAUCGUCAAGAAAUAUGGUUACACACACCUUUCUGCAGGAGAACUUCUUCAUGAUGAAAGGAAGAACCCAGAUUCACAGUAUGGUGAACUCACUGAAAAGUACAUUAAAGAUGGAAAGAUUGUGCCAGUUGAGAUAACCAUCAGUUUGUUAAAGAGGGAAAUGGAUCAGACAAUGGCUGCCAAUGCUCAGAAGAAAAAUUCUUGAUUGAUGGGUUUCCAAGAAAUCAAGACAACCUUCAAGGUUGGAACAAGACCAUGGAUGGGAAGGCAGAUGUGUCUUUCGUUCUGUUUUUUGACUGUAAUAGUGAGAUCUGUAUUGAACGAUGCCUUGAGAGGAGAAAGAGUAGUGGUAGAAGUGAUGACAACAGAGAGAGCUUGGAGAAGAGAAUUCAGACCUAUCUUCAGUCAACAAAGCCAAUUAUUAACUUACAUGAAGAAAUGGGGAAAGUCAAGAAAAUAGAUGCUUCUAAGUCUGUUGACGAAGUUUUUGAUGAAGUUGUGAAGAUUUUUGACAAAGAAGGCUAACUCUAAACCUGAAAGCAUCCUCAAAAUCAUGCUUGAAUAUUGUUUUGAUAGCUGUUAUCAACCCCUUUUUAAGGCAAUUUUAAUCUUUCAUAAUUACAUCUCAGUUAAUGGCUGGAAAGUAUGUAGUAAGACAAAUUAAAUUUUUUAUCUUAGAUUUUUUUGGUUAUAGGAGUAGACAGUGAAUUCAGGUCUAACUUCAUCUUAGCUAUGGUGCUCACAAAACAAAGAAGGAUAUUAGCUUAGUUCUUUGUUUUUACUCAAAAAGCAUAUCCCUUCUAUAGUUUGUGCCUUCUGUGAGCAAAACUUUUUAUUAUGUCUGUAUAUCCCUUUAAUAAUUACCACAUGUUAGGAUUAGGGAUUCCCCACUUCCUUGUUUUCUUGCAGGUUUUAAAUUUCCAACCUGUUAAGUGAAUUUGUGGACC